rnacentral:rRNA from 1 species
UACGGAGGGUGCGAGCGUUGUCCGGAAUCAUUGGGCGUAAAGGGCGCGUAGGUGGCCCGGUCAGUUCGUGGUGAAAGCCCGGGGCUCAACCCCGGGAGGCGGAUGGAUACUGCUUGGCUCGAGUCCGGAAGAGGUGAGUGGAAUUCCCGGUGUAGCGGUGAAAUGCGCAGAUAUCGGGAGGAACACCAAUGGCGAAGGCAGCUCACUGGGACGGUACUGACGCUGAGACGCGAAAGCGUGGGGAGCAAACAGG